rnacentral:rRNA from 1 species
AUUGAACGCUGGCGGCAGGCCUAACACAUGCAAGUCGAGCGGCAGCGGGAAAGUAGCUUGCUACUUUUGCCGGCGAGCGGCGGACGGGUGAGUAAUGCCUGGGAAAUUGCCCAGUCGAGGGGGAUAACAGUUGGAAACGACUGCUAAUACCGCAUACGCCCUACGGGGAAAGCAGGGACCUUCGGGCCUUGCGCGAUUGGAUAUGCCCAGGUGGGAUUAGCUAGUUGGUGAGGUAAUGGCUCACCAAGGCGACGAUCCCUAGCUGGUCUGAGAGGAUGAUCAGCCACACUGGAACUGAGACACGGUCCAGACUCCUACGGGAGGCAGCAGUGGGGAAUAUUGCACAAUGGGGGAAACCCUGAUGCAGCCAUGCCGCGUGUGUGAAGAAGGCCCUGGUU